UAGGAGCUUGAGCAUCUUACCUAGAGCUAA
rnacentral:piRNA from 1 species